GACGGAGGAUGCAAGUGUUAUCCGGAAUCACUGGCGUAAAGCGUCUGUAGGUGGUCAAAUAAGUCAACUGUUAAAUCUUGAGGCUCAACCUCAAAAUCGCAGUCGAAACUAUUCGACUAGAGUAUAGUAGGGGUAAAGGGAAUUUCCAGUGGAGCGGUGAAAUGCGUAGAGAUUGGAAAGAACACCGAUGGCGAAGGCACUUUACUGGGCUAUUACUAACACUGAGAGACGAAAGCUAGGGUAGCAAAUGGG
rnacentral:rRNA from 1 species